GUGGGGGAUAUUGCACAAUGGAGGAAACUCUGAUGCAGCGACGCCGCGUGAGUGAAGAAGUAUUUCGGUAUGUAAAGCUCUAUCAGCAGGGAAGAUAAUGUCAGUACCUGACUAAGAAGCCCCGGCUAACUACGUGCCAGCAGCCGCGGUAAUACGUAGGGGGCAAGCGUUAUCCGGAUUUACUGGGUGUAAAGGGAGCGUAGACGGAAUGGCAAGUCUGAUGUGAAAUCCUGCGGCUUAACUGCAAAAUUGCUUUGGAAACUGUCAAGCUGGAGUAUUGGAGAGGUAAGCGGAAUUCCUGGUGUAGCGGUGAAAUGCGUAGAUAUCAGGAAGAACACCGGAGGCGAAGGCGGCUUACUGGACAAUAACUGACGUUGAGGCUCGAAAGCGUGGGAAGCAAACAGGAUUAGAUACCCGAGUAGUCC
rnacentral:rRNA from 1 species